rnacentral:rRNA from 1 species
AUUGAACGCUGGCGGCAGGCUUAACACAUGCAAGUCGAGCGGGGGAAGGUAGCUUGCUACUGGACCUAGCGGCGGACGGGUGAGUAAUGCUUAGGAAUCUGCCUAUUAGUGGGGGACAACAUCUCGAAAGGGAUGCUAAUACCGCAUACGUCCUACGGGAGAAAGCAGGGGAUCUUCGGACCUUGCGCUAAUAGAUGAGCCUAAGUCGGAUUAGCUAGUUGGUGGGGUAAAGGCCUACCAAGGCGACGAUCUGUAGCGGGUCUGAGAGGAUGAUCCGCCACACUGGGACUGGGACACGGCCCGGACUCCUCCGGGAGGCAGCAGUGGGGAAUAUUGGACAAUGGGGGAACCCUGAUCCAGCCAUGCCGCGUGUGUGAAGAAGGCCUUAUGGUUGUAAAGCACUUUAAGCGAGGAGGAGGCUACUCUAGUUAAUACCUAGGGAUAGUGGACGUUACUCGCAGAAUAAGCACCGGCUAACUCUGUGCCAGCAGCCGCCGUAA